GCUCCCUUAGCUAAGUGGUCUAAGGCACCAGUCUGCAAAACUGGCAUUCCCCAGUUCGAAUCUGGGAGGGAGCU
rnacentral:tRNA from 2 species